rnacentral:rRNA from 1 species
CAGUUCAGACUGCAGGCUGCAACUCGCCUGCACGAAGUCGGAAUUGCUAGUAAUCGUAGGUCAGCAUACUACGGUGAAUACGUUCCCGGGCCUUGUACACACCGCCCGUCAAACCAUGAGAGUUGGCAACACCCGAAGUCGGUAGUCUAACCGCAAGGAGGACGCCGCCGAAGGUGGGGUCGAUGAUUAGGGUUAAGUCGUAACAAGGUACC